UACAGAGGUCUCAAGCGUUGUUCGGAUUCAUUGGGCGUAAAGGGUGUGUAGGUGGCGCGCUAAGUCGGGUGUGAAAUUUCGGAGCUUAACUCCGAAACUGCAUUCGAUACUGGCGUGCUUGAGGACUGGAGAGGAGACUGGAAUUCAUGGUGUAGCAGUGAAAUGCGUAGAUAUCAAGCGGAACACCAGUGGCGAAGGCGAGUCCCUGGACAACUCCUGACACUGAGGCACGAAAGCUAGGGGAGCAAACAGG
rnacentral:rRNA from 1 species